UACGUAGGGGGCAAGCGUUGUCCGGAAUCAUUGGGCGUAAAGAGCGCGUAGGCGGCCCAGUAAGUCCGCUCUGAAAGUCAGGGGCUCAACCCCUGAAUGCGGGUGGAUACUGCUGGGCUAGAGUCCGGAAGAGGCGAGUGGAAUUCCUGGUGUAGCGGUGAAAUGCGUAGAUAUCGGGAGGAACACCUGUGGCGAAAGCGGCUCACUGGACCAUAACUGACGCUGAUGCACGAAAGCUAGGGGAGCAAACAGG
rnacentral:rRNA from 1 species